rnacentral:rRNA from 1 species
AGGAAAAGAAACUAACAAGGAUUCCCCUAGUAACGGCGAGUGAAGAGGGAAGAGCCCAAGAUUGAAAGCUGGCGUCUUCGGCGUCCGCAUUGUAAUCUCAAGAAGUGUUUUCCGCUUCGGACCAAGCCUAAGUCCCCUGGAAAGGGGCAUCAUAGAGGGUGAUAAUCCCGUACAUGGCUUGGAGCGCCCGAGGCUUUGUGAUACGCUUUCUAAGAGUCGAGUUGUUUGGGAAUGCAGCUCAAAAUGGGUGGUAAAUGCCAUCUAAGGCUAAAUAUUGGGGAGAGACCGAUAGCGAACAAGUACAGUGAUGGAAAGAUGAAAAGAACUUUGAAAAGAGAGUUAAACAGUACGUGAAAUUGCCAAAAGGGAAGGGUAGGAGGUCAGAGAUGCGGCCUGGGAUUCAGCCUUGCUUUUGCUUGGUGUUUUUCCCAGAUUGCAGGCCAACGUCGGUUUUGGGCACUGGAGAAGGGUAGGAGGAACGUGGCACCUCUCGGGGUGUGUUAUAGCCUCCUACUGGAUACAGCGACCGAGACCGAGGACAGCAGCGUACUCGCAAGAGCGGGCCUUCGGGCACCUUUACGCUUAGGGC